rnacentral:misc_RNA from 1 species
GAAAUGCGAUAAGUAAUGUGAAUUGCAGAAUUCAGUGAAUCAUCGAAUCUUUGAACGCACCUUGCGCUCCUUGGUAUUCCUUGGAGCAUGCCUGUUUGAGUAUCAUGAAAUCUUCAAAGUAAAUCUUUUGUUAACUCAAUUGGUUUCUACUUUGGUAUUGGAGGUCUUUGCAGCUUCACACCUGCUCCUCUUUGUUCAUUAGCUGGAUCUCAGUGUUAUGCUUGGUUCCACUCGGCGUGAUAAGUUAUCUAUCGCUGAGGACACUGUAAAAGGUGGCCAAGGUAAAUGCAGAUGAGCCGCUUCUAAUAGUCCAUUGACUUGGACAAUACUUUUAUGAUCUGAUCUCAGAUCAGGUAGGACUACCCGCUGAACUUAAGC